UUUGUACUCCAUUCAUCCGAAAAUACUUGUCAUCAAAAUGGAUAAAAAGGAUGUAUCUAGAACUAAUAUAUAUCUAGAUACAUCACCUUUUAUUCAUUUUGAUGACAAGUAUUUUCGGACGGAGGGAGUACUUG
rnacentral:pre_miRNA from 1 species